rnacentral:rRNA from 1 species
UACGGGGGGGGCAAGCGUUGUUCGGAAUUACUGGGCGUAAAGGGCGUGUAGGCGGCCAACUAAGUCCGACGUGAAAUCCCCAGGCUUAACCUGGGAACUGCGUCGGAUACUGGAUGGCUUGAAUCCGGGAGAGGGAUGCAGAAUUCCAGGUGUAGCGGUGAAAUGCGUAGAUAUCUGGAGGAAUACCGGUGGCGAAGGCGGCAUCCUGGACCGGCAUUGACGCUGAAGCGCGAAAGCUAGGGGAGCGAACGGG